rnacentral:rRNA from 1 species
AGAGUUUGAUCCUGGCUCAGAUUGAACGCUGGCGGCAUGCCUUACACAUGCAAGUCGAACGGCAGCACGGGAGCAAUCCUGGUGGCGAGUGGCGAACGGGUGAGUAAUAUAUCGGAACGUGCCCAGUCGUGGGGGAUAACGUAGAGAAAUUUACGCUAAUACCGCAUACGAUCUAAGGAUGAAAGCGGGGGACUCGCAAGGGCCUCGCGCGAUUGGAGCGGCUGAUAUCAGAUUAGGUUGUUGGUGAGGUAAAAGCUCACCAAGCCGACGAUCUGUAGCUGGUUUGAGAGAACGACCAGCCACACUGGGACUGAGACACGGCCCAGACUCCUACGGGAGGCAGCAGUGGGGAAUUUUGGACAAUGGGCGAAAGCCUGAUCCAGCAAUGCCGCGUGCAGGAAGAAGGCCUUCGGGUUGU